rnacentral:rRNA from 1 species
UAGGGAAUCUUCCACAAUGGGCGAAAGCCUGAUGGAGCAACGCCGCGUGUGUGAUGAAGGCUUUAGGGUCGUAAAGCACUGUUGUAUGGGAAGAAAUGCUAGAAUAGGGAAUGAUUCUAGUUCGACGGUACCAUACCAGAAAGGGACGGCUAAAUACGUGCCAGCAGCCGCGGUAAUACGUAUGUCCCGAGCGUUAUCCGGAUUUAUUGGGCGUAAAGCGAGCGCAGACGGUUGAUUAAGUCUGAUGUGAAAGCCCGGAGCUCAACUCCGGAAUGGCAUUGGAAACUGGUUAACUUGAGUGUUGUAGAGGUAAGUGGAACUCCAUGUGUAGCGGUGGAAUGCGUAGAUAUAUGGAAGAACACCAGUGGCGAAGGCGGCUUACUGGACAACAACUGACGUU